CCCCGGCUGAAACUUAAGCAUAUCAAUAAGCGGAGGAAAAGAAACCAACAGGGAUUGCCUCAGUAACGGCGAGUGAAGCGGCAACAGCUCAAAUUUGAAAUCUGGCCUCGGCCCGAGUUGUAAUUUGCAGAGGAUGCUUCUGGCAACGUGCCUUCCGAGUCCCCUGGAACGGGGCGCCGGAGAGGGUGAGAGCCCCGUACGGUUGGACGCCGCGCCUGUGUGAAGCUCCUUCGACGAGUCGAGUAGUUUGGGAAUGCUGCUCUAAGCGGGAGGUAAAUUCCUUCUAAAGCUAAAUACCGGCCAGAGACCGAUAGCGCACAAGUAGAGUGAUCGAAAGAUGAAAAGCACUUUGGAAAGAGGGUUAAAAAGUACGUGAAAUUGCUGAAAGGGAAGCGCCUGCGACCAGACUCGCGCCGGGCGAAUCAUCCAGCGUUCUCGCUGGUGCACUUCGCCCGGUCCGGGCCAGCAUCGGUUCUGACGGGGGGACAAAAGCCCGGGAAAUGUAGCUCCCUCCGGGGAGUGUUAUAGUCCCUCGCCUAAUACCCCCGCCGGGACCGAGGACCGCGCUUUACGCAAGGAUGCUGGCAUAAUGGUCGUCGGCGACCCGUCUUGAAACACGGACCAAGGAGUCGAACAUUUGUGCGAGUGUUUGGGUGGAAAACCCUCACGCGCAAUGAAAGUGAACUUUGGUGGGAGCCUCGGCGCACCACCGACCGAUCCUGAAGUUUUCGGAUGGAUUUGAGUAGGAGCAUAACUGUUCGGACCCGAAAGAUGGUGAACUAUGCCUGUGUAGGGUGAAGCCAGAGGAAACUCUGGUGGAGGCUCGCAGCGGUUCUGACGUGCAAAUCGAUCGUCAAACAUGGGCAUGGGGGCGAAAGACUAAUCGAACCAUCUAGUAGUGGUUUCCGCCGAAGUUUCCCCUCAAGGAAA
rnacentral:rRNA from 1 species